rnacentral:rRNA from 1 species
UCAUUACCGAGUGAGGGCCCUCUGGGUCCAACCUCCCACCCGUGUUGCACGAACCUGUGUUGCUUCGGCGGGCCCGCCGCCAGGCCGCCGGGGGGCAUCCGCCCCCGGGCCCGCGCCCGCCGAAGCCCCCCUCUGAACGCUGUCUGAAGUUGCAGUCUGAGACAACUAGCUAAAUUAGUUAAAACUUUCAACAACGGAUCUCUUGGUUCCGGCAUCGAUGAAGAACGCAGCGAAAUGCGAUAACUAAUGUGAAUUGCAGAAUUCAGUGAAUCAUCGAGUCUUUGAACGCACAUUGCGCCCUCUGGUAUUCCGGAGGGCAUGCCUGUCCGAGCGUCAUUGCUGCCCUCAAGCACGGCUUGUGUGUUGGGCCCCGUCCCCCCCGCUCCGGGGGGGACGGGCCCGAAAGGCAGCGGCGGCACCGCGUCCGGUCCUCGAGCGUAUGGGGCUUCGUCACCCGCUCUUGUAGGCCCGGCCGGCGCCAGCCGACCCCCAACCUUUUAUUAUUUCUCAGGUUGACCUCGGAUCAGGUAGGGAUACCCGCUGAACUUAAGCAUAUCAAUAAGCGGAGGAAAAGAAACCAACCGGGAUUGCCCUAGUAACGGCGAGUGAAGCGGCAAGAGCUCAAAUUUGAAAGCUGGCUCCUUCGGGGUCCGCAUUGUAAUUUGCAGAGGAUGCUUCGGAAUCGGCCCCCAUCUAAGUGCCCUGGAACGGGCCGUCAUAGAGGGUGAGAAUCCCGUCUGG